GAGUUUGAUCAUGGCUCAGAGCGAACGCUGGCGGCAGGCUUAACACAUGCAAGUCGAGCGCCUGUAGCAAUACAGGAGCGGCAGACGGGUGAGUAACACGUGGGAACGUACCCUUUGGUUCGGAACAACACAGGGAAACUUGUGCUAAUACCGGAUAAGCCCUUACGGGGAAAGAUUUAUCGCCGAAGGAUCGGCCCGCGUCUGAUUAGCUUGUUGGUGAGGUAACGGCUCACCAAGGCUACGAUCAGUAGCUGGUCUGAGAGGAUGAUCAGCCACACUGGGACUGAGACACGGCCCAGACUCCUACGGGAGGCAGCAGUGGGGAAUAUUGGACAAUGGGCGCAAGCCUGAUCCAGCCAUGCCGCGUGAGUGAUAGAAC
rnacentral:rRNA from 1 species